GGGAUUGGUGAUAGGACGUCCACUUAACUUGGAGUCCGAACUCUCACUUUCUAACCCUGUGCACUUGUUUGGGAUAGUAACUCUCGCAAGAGAGCGAACUCCUAUUCACUUAUAAACACAAAGUCUAUGAAUGUAUUAAAUUUUAUAACAAAAUAAAACUUUCAACAACGGAUCUCUUGGCUCUCGCAUCGAUGAAGAACGCAGCGAAAUGCGAUAAGUAAUGUGAAUUGCAGAAUUCAGUGAAUCAUCGAAUCUUUGAACGCACCUUGCGCUCCAUGGUAUUCCGUGGAGCAUGCCUGUUUGAGUGUCAUGAAUACUUCAACCCUCCUCUUUCUUAAUGAUUGAAGAGGUGUUUGGUUUCUGAGCGCUGCUGGCCUUUACGGUCUAGCUCGUUCGUAAUGCAUUAGCAUCCGCAAUCGAACUUCGGAUUGACUUGGCGUAAUAGACUAUUCGCUGAGGAAUUCUAGUCUUCGGAUUAGAGCCGGGUUGGGUUAAAGGAAGCUUCUAAUCAGAAUGUCUACAUUUUAAGAUUAGAUCUCAAAUCAGGUAGGACUACCCGCUGAACUUAAGCAUAUCA
rnacentral:rRNA from 1 species